GAUGAACGCUGGCGGCGUGCCUAAUACAUGCAAGUCGAGCGAAGCGGGGACGGGUGAGUAACACGUGGAUAACGUCCUCUACGACUGGGAUAACUUGGGGAAACCGGAGCUAAACCGGAUACUUAUAACUGUAUCCGCGCUGCAUUAGCGAGUUGGUAAGGUAACGGCUGACCAAGGAAACGAUGCAUAGCCGACCUGAGAGGAUGAUCGGCCACACUGGAACUAGGACACGGUCCAGACUCCUACGGGAGGCAGCAGUAGGGCAUCUUCCGGAAUGGGCGGAAGCCUGACGGAGCAACGCCGCGUGAGUGAUGAAGGUCUUCGGAGCGUAAAACUCUGUAAUUAGGGAAGCGGUACCUAAUCAGAAAGCCACGGCUAACUCCGUGCCAGCAGCCGCGGUAAUAC
rnacentral:rRNA from 1 species